rnacentral:rRNA from 1 species
AAGAGGCCCUUCUGGGUGGUAAAUUGUUUUUACCAGGAGAUAAAAUCUCCUUGCGUGGAAAAUUGAAGGUACCUGGAGAAUAAGCACCGGCUAACUUCGUGCCAGCAGCCGCGGUAAUACGUAGGGUGCAAGCGUUAUCCGGAUUCAUUGGGUUUAAAGGGUGCGUAGGCGGGUUAUUAAGUCAGUGGUGAAAUCCGGCAGCUCAACUGUAGAUGUGCCAUUGAUACUGCUAGCCUUGAGUACAGUUGAGGUAGGCGGAAUAUGUCGUGUAGCGGUGAAAUGCUUAGAUAUGACCAAGAACACCGAUAGCGAAGGCAGCUUACUAGGCUGUAACUGACGCUGAGGCACGAAAGUGUGGGGAUCAAACAGGAUUAGAUACCCUGGUAGUCCACACUGUAAACGAUGAUCACUCGCUGUGGCGAUACUACAGUCAG